AUGGCGGCGCUCGCCGGCAGCUGCGCGACGGAGCUCCGGGCCGUGUGUCGGCCCAUGGAGGUGGGCGACGCUGUGGCCGUCAUGGCGCAUGGCGGAGGCGGCGGGCGGUGGCGUCGUAUGUGUGGCGACCACGGAGGCGCUGCGUGGUGGCGCGGCGGCGCAGCACGGCGUGGCGGUGUGGAGGCACUGCAUGGCGGCAUGGAGGCCGCGGCGGUGCAGGGCAAUAAGCCGCGGCGGCGAGCCGGGCGCGACCGGUGCGUGUUAUGGGUUCGCACUGGACGCGUCGGGACCGCGGGCGCGCGGUGA
rnacentral:rRNA from 1 species